ACCUGAACAAAGAAAUGGAGACAAACACUGUUGCUAUGAUUGCCCUCAUCAGCUGCUGAUAUUACUACUCUAUACUGAUCUAUGCUACUGGUGUCAUUAUAAUCCAAUGUUGCUCCACCCACCACUCAUAGACUCACAUGCAGGCUCCUUAUGUUAUAUUGCGUGUAUUGAUGGAUUCUGAUACUCCUGUAUUUAAUAUUGAGAGUGUUACUGGCUCUGAUGGUAAGCCUGACCUCUUGAUCAGGUUUGAUAGGAAUAAACUGGAGACCAUUGCUAAACCUGUCAUUGGAGAAUUCUUGAAUAAACUGCAGAUCUAUAAGUCUGACAGCAGACGUUAGCUCAGGACAGUUAUUGUAUAAUAAAUAUUCAACUGUUACUGAUGAUCAUUUGAUGUUGAGAGAUAUUGUAAUGGCUAGGAAGAUGCCUAGAAGAUUUGUACAGCCACACACUUCAAUUGAUACUGAUGGUUCUGUUGUUCUUAAUGAAUUUGAUAGUUCAUUUGAAGGAAUCAUUUCCUCAUUUCUAGCAAGAUAUCCUAACUAUGAUACUGAACUGGAGUCUCUUUGGAGAAAUGAUCAGCAUUAUUGGAAACAAAAAUAGACACAAUACAUUUGAUACAAAUUAAAGGAUUAGAAUUUACUUGUGUAUGCAUAUUGAGUGUUAAUUGUCACAUUGUUGCAUGUGCAUGUA
rnacentral:lncRNA from 1 species